UUGGUGCUUGCAUCAUGAUUUACAUUUGAGUGAGUGGCGAACUGGUGAGUAACACGUGGGAAACCUGCCCAGAAGCGGGGGAUAACACCUGGAAACAGAUGCUAAUACCGCAUAACAACUUGGACCGCAUGGUCCGAGYUUGAAAGAUGGCUUCGGCUAUCACUUUUGGAUGGUCCCGCGGCGUAUUAGCUAGAUGGUGRGGUAACGGCUCACCAUGGCAAUGAUACGUAGCCGACCUGAGAGGGUAAUCGGCCACAUUGGGACUGAGACACGGCCCAAACUCCUACGGGAGGCAGCAGUAGGGAAUCUUCCACAAUGGACGAAAGUCUGAUGGAGCAACGCCGCGUGAGUGAAGAAGGGUUUCGGCUCGUAAAACUCUGUUGUUAAAGAAGAACAUAUCUGAGAGUAACUGUUCAGGUAUUGACGGUAUUUAACCAGAAAGCCACGGCUAACUACGUGCCAGCAGCCGCGGUAAUACGUAGGUGGCAAGCGUUGUCCGGAUUUAUUGGGCGUAAAGCGAGCGCAGGCGGUUUUUUAAGUCUGAUGUGAAAGCCUUCGGCUCAACCGAAGAAGUGCAUCGGAAACUGGGAAACUUGAGUGCAGAAGAGGACAGUGGAACUCCAUGUGUAGCGGUGAAAUGCGUAGAUAUAUGGAAGAACACCAGUGGCGAAGGCGGCUGUCUGGUCUGUAACUGACGCUGAGGCUCGAAAGUAUGGGUAGCAAACAGGAUUAGAUACCCUGGUAGUCCAUACCGUAAACGAUGAAUGCUAAGUGUUGGAGGGUUUCCGCCCUUCAGUGCUGCAGCUAACGCAUUAAGCAUUCCGCCUGGGGAGUACGGCCGCAAGGCUGAAACUCAAAGGAAUUGACGGGGGCCCGCACAAGCGGUGGAGCAUGUGGUUUAAUUCGAAGCUACGCGAAGAACCUUACCAGGUCUUGACAUACUAUGCAAAUCUAAGAGAUUAGACGUUCCCUUCGGGGACAUGGAUACAGGUGGUGCAUGGUUGUCGUCAGCUCGUGUCGUGAGAUGUUGGGUUAAGUCCCGCAACGAGCGCAACCCUUAUUAUCAGUUGCCAGCAUUAAGUUGGGCMCUCUGGUGARACUGCCGGUGACAAACCGGAGGAAGGUGGGGAUGACGUCAAAUCAUCAUGCCCCUAUGACCUGGGCUAC
rnacentral:rRNA from 1 species